CCUACGGGAGGCAGCAGUAAGGAAUCUUUGACAAUGGGCGAAAGCCUGAUGGAGCAACGCCGCGUGCAGGAUGAAGGCCUUAGGGUUGUAAACUGCUUUUAUAAGCGAGAAAUAUGAUGUUAACGUAUGAAUAAGGAUCGGCUAACUACGUGCCAGCAGCCGCGGUCAUACGUAGGAUCCGAGCAUUAUCCGGAGUGACUGGGUGUAAAGAGUUGCGUAGGUGGCUUAAUAAGUAGCUGGUGAAAUCUGGUGGCUCAACCAUUCAGACUAUUAGGUAAACUGUUAAGCUCGAGACCGUUAGAGGUAACUGGAAUUUGUAGUGUAGGAGUGAAAUGCUUAGAUAUUAGAAGGAACACCGAUAGCGUAGGCAGGUUGCUGGGACGGUUCUGACACUAAGGCACGAAAGCGUAGGGAGCAAACGGGAUUAGAUACCCUGGUAGUC
rnacentral:rRNA from 1 species